rnacentral:rRNA from 1 species
GUGGGGAAUUUUGGACAAUGGGCGCAAGCCUGAUCCAGCAAUGCCGCGUGCAGGAAGAAGGCCUUCGGGUUGUAAACUGCUUUUGUACGGAACGAAACGGUCCGGGUUAAUACCCUGGGCUAAUGACGGUACCGUAAGAAUAAGCACCGGCUAACUACGUGCCAGCAGCCGCGGUAAUACGUAGGGUGCAAGCGGUAAUCGGAAUUACUGGGCGUAAAGCGUGCGCAGGCGGUUUUGUAAGACAGGCGUGAAAUCCCCGGGCUCAACCUGGGAAUUGCGCUUGUGACUGCAAGGCUGGAGUGCGGCAGAGGGGGAUGGAAUUCCGCGUGUAGCAGUGAAAUGCGUAGAUAUGCGGAGGAACACCGAUGGCGAAGGCAAUCCCCUGGGCCUGCACUGACGCUCAUGCACGAAAGCGUGGGGAGCAAACAGGAUUAGAUACCCGUGUAGUCC